rnacentral:rRNA from 1 species
GUGAGGAAUAUUGGUCAAUGGGCGAGAGCCUGAACCAGCCAAGUCGCGUGAAGGAAGAAGGAUCUAUGGUUCGUAAACUUCUUUUGCAGGGGAAUAAAGUGCAGGACGUGUCCUGUUUUGUAUGUACCCUGAGAAUAAGGAUCGGCUAACUCCGUGCCAGCAGCCGCGGUAAUACGGAGGAUCCGAGCGUUAUCCGGAUUUAUUGGGUUUAAAGGGUGCGUAGGUGGUUUGAUAAGUCAGCGGUGAAAGUUUGCAGCUUAACUGUAAAAAUGCCGUUGAAACUGUCGGACUUGAGUGUAAAUGAGGUAGGCGGAAUGCGUGGUGUAGCGGUGAAAUGCAUAGAUAUCACGCAGAACUCCGAUUGCGAAGGCAGCUUACUAAGCUACAACUGACACUGAAGCACGAAAGCGUGGGGAUCAAACAGGAUUAGAUACCCUUGUAGUCC